UCAGUCGACUCCUACGGGGAGGCAGCAGUGGGGAAUAUUGCACAAUGGGGGGAAACCCUGAUGCAGCCAUGCCGCGUGUGUGAAGAAGGCCUUCGGGUUGUAAAGCACUUUCAGUAGGGAGGAAGGUAGUGUAGUUAACACCUGCACAUUUGACGUUACCUACAGAAGAAGCACCGGCUAACUCCGUGCCAGCAGCCGCGGUAAUACGGAGGGUGCGAGCGUUAAUCGGAAUUACUGGGCGUAAAGCGCAUGCAGGCGGCCUGUUAAGUCAGAUGUGAAAGCCCGGGGCUUAACCUCGGAAUUGCAUUUGAAACUGGCAGGCUAGAGUCUUGUAGAGGGGGGUAGGAAUUUCAGGUGUAGCGGUGAAAUGCGUAGAGAUCUGAAGGAAUACCAGUGGCGAAGGCGGCCCCCUGGACAAAGACUGACGCUCAGAUGCGAAAGCGUGGGGAGCAAACAGGAUUAGAUACCCCUGGUAG
rnacentral:rRNA from 1 species